rnacentral:rRNA from 1 species
UUUUUCCUACGGGGGGCAGCAGUGGGGAAUAUUGCACAAUGGGGGAAACCCUGAUGCAGCGACGCCGCGUGAGUGAAGAAGUAUUUCGGUAUGUAAAGCUCUAUCAGCAGGGAAGAAAAUGACGGUACCUGACUAAGAAGCCCCGGCUAACUACGUGCCAGCAGCCGCGGUAAUACGUAGGGGGCAAGCGUUAUCCGGAUUUAUUGGGUUUAAAGGGUGCGUAGGCGGUCCGUUAAGUCAGCGGUAAAAUUGCGGGGCUCAACCCCGUCGAGCCGUUGAAACUGGCAGACUUGAGUUGGCGAGAA